AUGGCGGCGGCGCAAAGUGCGGCGAUGUCGGCCGGAAUAUUCCAAAACGGACUGGAAUUUCUGCUAGAUCCAGUUGACAGGUUCCCGUUGACAGAGGUCACUGCCGAUGUUGAGCGGCCAGAUCCGUUGGUGCUGAUGGACGUCCGCCGCUCAGCACCUGCAACUGCAGACUCGUCGUGCGCGGUUGUUGUUGGCAACCUCGGCGGCUCUUCUGAACAGAACAGAACCGGCAGCAAGAGGAAGUGUUCCCCGACACAGUCGGCCGAGUCCACCGGGAAGGUGACCUCAGAGGCACCGGGAUGGACUAGAAGGUUGCGACUUGGGCGUGCACCUCCAAAUAGGAAACCCUUUGCUGGUAGAGUUACACCAUUGGAAGAGACUAUAAGGAGAUACGCGGACAAACCUACGGAAAAUGUAGUUAAACCUGAGAUUGGUAUGAGUUUUGAUUCGCUUGGAGAAGCAUAUGAUUUUUACAACUUGUACUCUUGGGAGCUUGGAUUUGGUAUAAGGUAUGGCAAGAGCCGUUUGAAUGCCGAGAAGACAAAAUGUAUGCAGAAAAUCGUAUGUGGCUGCUCGGGGAAACCAGAACAACAGAACAGCCGGUCUUGCAGAUGCGAGUGCCCUGCAAUGAUCGGAUUGCUAAAGGCUGCAGACAACGGAUGGUACAUUGCUGAGCACCGGGCAAGUCACAAUCAUUCCCUAUCUCUUACUUGCGGCGAAAAAGUUCAUUGGCCGUCUCACAAGCACAUAGAUGUGUACACAAAACAUCUGGUGAAGCAACUGCGGGCAAACAAUGUCAACCUCAACAAGGUUUACAGCAUCAUUGGCAGCUUCUUUGGUUCGUCACAAAGCGUGCCUUUCACAAAAAGGUCUCUGCGUCAUCUCUGUGGUAGAAUUAGUCGAGACCAGGCAGAUGAUGAUGUGAACAAAACCUUGGCUGUGUUCAAGGAGAUACAGCGGAAUUACCCGGAAUUCACGUACCGAGUCCAAGGUGAUGAGGAAAGUAGAAUAAAAAAAUCUAAUGUGGACGAAUAG
rnacentral:rRNA from 1 species